GAUAAUCUUCAGGGCAGGGCGAAAUUCCCUACCGGCGGUAACUGUCUAAUUACAGAAGCCCGCGAGCGCUUUUUAGAUACUAAAAAGGUCUAGCAGAUUUGGUGUAACUCCAAAGCCGACAGUAUAGUCUGUAUGAAAGAAGAUUGAA
rnacentral:ncRNA from 2 species